rnacentral:lncRNA from 1 species
AGAGCCCCAAUCCCCUGGACUCUAAUUCCUCAUUGCGAGAAUUUAAUUUAGGAUUUUCUAUUUAGGGUUCUUGAGAGGAUUAUUGUAGUUUUGGACUCAGGGCGAGAAUCAGUUGAAAUUGAGGGGAUAUUCGUGAUGCGGAGAAGGAGACGAAGUUGAUGGUGUGUUUGAUUUUGGUUUCUGGUGGCCACCGCCACUGAAAGCGAUUUCUGGUGUGGUCCACGGUGGUGGUGAGUGGAAGGUGAUUU